rnacentral:lncRNA from 1 species
UGUUUAAAGGGAGAUUUUAAAAGGUGCAUGUUCAUUAAAUUGUACGUCUUCUCUGUCUGUUUCAAUUAGCAGAUUGGAGGGAAUUUGGACUUGGAUUGCCCGAAGCAGUGAGGUUCCAGUCUGAUGGCAGCUUGGAUGCUGAUCUCCUUACAGGACUUUGAAGACUGCAUCCUCACAGCUUGCUUUGUGCUCGAGUGCAAACAUUUUUGUUGAGGCAUUUGGGAGGAAAGAGGGAUGCGCAGAACCAGAAGCUAACAACAAGCAUUUCGUUUUGGCAGAUCUGGAAGGACAAAUUUCUCACCUGGAAUUUCAGCCUCUACAACAAGAUGAGGGAGAUUUCGCUGCUGCUCAAUGUUAUCUGGGCUCCAGAUAUUGUCAUCAAUAAAUUGCAAGUUUG